GUGCAGGUUCAGCAGCAGGUUAUUGAAGUUGUUACUUUCAUAGCCUCUUCGUCAACCAAAUUUGCUAAGAAGUGUGUAGUGCUUUGCCUUCUGGGUAUAAGUGAGCGUGUCGCUGACAUCAAGACUCGUGCUCAUGCCAUGAAGUGCCUUACUACUUUUUGUGAAGCUGUAGGUCCUGGAUUUAUUUUUGAAAGACUUUACAAGAUACUGAAAGAGCACAAGAAUCCUAAGGUUCUUAGCGAGGGGCUACUGUGGAUGGUUUCAGCAGUGGAAGAUUUUGGCAUCUCACAUUUGAAAUUUAAGGUUU